GACCCAAUGGCACAGGUUGCGCUUGUGCUAGAUACCGCGGAGUUGUACAUUUAACGCAAGAGGACCCGGUUCGAUUCCUGGUUGGGUCG